UGGGGAAUCUUAGACAAUGGGGGAAACCCUGAUCUAGCCAUGCCGCGUGGACGAUGAAGGCCUUAGGGUUGUAAAGUCCUUUCAGCUGGGAAGAUAAUGACGGUACCAGCAGAAGAAGCCCCGGCUAACUCCGUGCCAGCAGCCGCGGUAAUACGGAGGGGGCUAGCGUUGUUCGGAAUUACUGGGCGUAAAGCGCACGUAGGCGGAUCAGCAAGUUAGGGGUGAAAUCCCGGGGCUCAACCCCGGAACUGCCCUUAAAACUGUUGGUCUUGAGUUCGAGAGAGGUGAGUGGAAUUCCGAGUGUAGAGGUGAAAUUCGUAGAUAUUCGGAGGAACACCAGUGGCGAAGGCGGCUCACUGGCUCGAUACUGACGCUGAGGUGCGAAAGCGUGGGGAGCAAACA
rnacentral:rRNA from 1 species